rnacentral:lncRNA from 1 species
UAUCCAAAUCAAGCUUCUUACAUCGCGAUUCAUCCUGGUUUGAUUGGAAUGACGAAGAAGUUGUCAGAUUCCCAAACAGGAAAACUGGGAUCCCCUGAUUUGACAGUUGGAUAGCUUCUUCAUCCUAACUCCUAUGAGAUUUAUUCAACUUCCUGGUGAGUCUCCACUACUUUAUGUAUCCAAAUCAAGAUUCUUACAUCGCGAGUCAUAUUGGUUU